AAUAGAUACCCGGGUAGUCCACGCCGUAAACGAUGAGUGCUAAGUGUUAGAGGGUUUCCGCCCUUUAGUGCUGCAGCUAACGCAUUAAGCACUCCGCCUGGGGAGUACGGUCGCAAGACUGAAACUCAAAGGGGUUGACGGGGGCCCGCACAAGCGGUGGAGCAUGUGGUUUAAUUCGAAGCAACGCGAAGAACCUUACCAGGUCUUGACAUCCUCUGACAACUCUAGAGAUAGAGCGUUCCCCUUCGGGGGACAGAGUGACAGGUGGUGCAUGGUUGUCGUCAGCUCGUGUCGUGAGAUGUUGGGUUAAGUCCCGCAACGAGCGCAACCCUUGAUCUUAGUUGCCAGCAUUUAGUUGGGCACUCUAAGGUGACUGCCGGUGACAAACCGGAGGAAGGUGGGGAUGACGUCAAAUCAUCAUGCCCCUUAUGACCUGGGCUACACACGUGCUACAAUGGAUGGUACAAAGGGCUGCAAGACCGCGAGGUCAAGCCAAUCCCAUAAAACCAUUCUCAGUUCGGA
rnacentral:rRNA from 1 species